CGGGCGACGCGCCGGUCUAAGUCCCUUGGAACGGGGCGUCACAGAGGGUGAGAAUCCCGUACGCGACCGGUGACCGAGCCCGUGUGAAACCCCUUCGACGAGUCGAGUUGUUUGGGAAUGCAGCUCAAAUUGGGUGGUAAAUUUCAUCUAAAGCUAAAUACCGGCCAGAGACCGAUAGCGCACAAGUAGAGUGAUCGAAAGAUGAAAAGCACUUUGAAAAGAGAGUCAAACAGUACGUGAAAUUGUUGAAAGGGAAGCGCUUGCAACCAGACCUGCCCGCGGGUGCUCAGCCGUCCUUCUGGGCGGUGCACUCGCCCGCGAUCAGGCCAGCAUCGGUUCGGGCGGUCGGACAAAGAUCUUGGGAACGUAGCUCCUCUCGGGGAGUGUUAUAGCCCUCGGUGCAAUGCGGCCUGCCCGGACCGAGGACCGCGCUUCGGCUAGGAUGCUGGCGUAAUGGUUGUAAGCGGCCCGUCUUGAAACACGGACCAAGGAGUCGACCAACUGUGCGAGUGUUUGGGCGUCAAACCCACACGCGCAAUGAAAGUGAACGGAGGUGGGAACCCCUCGCGGGGCGCACCAUCGACCGAUCCAGAUGUCUUCGGAUGGAUUUGAGUACGAGCAUAGCUGGUCGGACCCGAAAGAUGGUGAACUAUGCCUGAAUAGGGUGAAGCCAGAGGAAACUCUGGUGGAGGCUCGCAGCGGUUCUGACGUGCAAAUCGAUCGUCAAAUUUGGGCAUAGGGGCGAAAGACUAAUCGAACCAUC
rnacentral:rRNA from 1 species